rnacentral:rRNA from 1 species
AGAGUUUGAUUAUGGCUCAGAACGAACGCUGGCGGCGUGGAUAAGACAUGCAAGUCGAACGGGAUUUUCUUUGGUAGCAAUACUAGAGAAAGUCUAGUGGCGAACGGGUGCGUAACACGUGGGCAAUCUGCCUUAAAGUGGGGGAUAGCUCGGCGAAAGCCGAAUUAAUACCGCAUAUGAUCAGGAGGGACAUCCCUUCGAAAUCAAAGAUGGCGCAAGCUAUCGCUUUUUGAGGAGCCCGCGGCCUAUCAGCUAGUUGGUGAGGUAACGGCUCACCAAGGCCUUGACGGGUAGCUGGUCUGAGAGGACGACCAGUCACACUGGAACUGAGACACGGUCCAGACACCUACGGGUGGCAGCAGUCGAGAAUUUUUCUCAAUGGGGGAAACCCUGAAGGAGCGACGCCGCGUGGAGGAUGAAGGUCUUCGGGUUGUAAACUCCUGUCAUUUGGGAACAAGUUGCACACGUUAACUGCGUGGGCAUUGAUAGUACCAGAAGAGGAAGAGACGGCUAACUCUGUGCCAGCAGCCGCGGUAAUACAGAGGUCUCAAGCGUUGUUCGGAUUCAUUGGGCGUAAAGGGUGCGUAGGUGGCGCCGUAAGUCGGGUGUGAAAUUUCGGAGCUCAACUCCGAAACUGCAUUCGAUACUGCGGUGCUUGAGGACUGGAGAGGAGACUGGAAUUUACGGUGUAGCAGUGAAAUGCGUAGAGAUCGUAAGGAAGAC